CAGAACGAACGCUGGCGGCAGGCUUAACACAUGCAAGUCGAACGGGCGUAGCAAUACGUCAGUGGCAGACGGGUGAGUAACACGUGGGAACCUUCCUAGGGGUACGGAACAACUCAGGGAAACUUGAGCUAAUACCGUAUACGUCCGUGAGGAGAAAAGAUUUAUCGCCCUUAGACGGGCCCGCGUCGGAUUAGCUAGUUGGUGGGGUAACGGCCUACCAAGGCGACGAUCCGUAGCUGAUCUGAGAGGAUGAUCAGCCACACUGGGACUGAGACACGGCCCAGACUCCUACGGGAGGCAGCAGUGGGGAAUCUUGGACAAUGGGCGCAAGCCUGAUCCAGCCAUGCCGCGUGAGUGAAGAAGGCCUUCGGGUUGUAAAGCUCUUUUGUCAGGGACGAUAAUGACGGUACCUGAAGAAUAAGCCCCGGCAAACUUCGUG
rnacentral:rRNA from 1 species